GAGCCUUUCGGCAGCACAUAUACUAAAAUUGGAAUGAUACAGAGAAGAUUAGCAUAGUCUCUGCGCAAGGAUGACACGCAAAUUCGUGAAGCGUCCUUAACCUCU